GGGUCAGUAGGCUGGUCGUGCCACCGGUACGUACUGGUCUCACUGAUUCCUCCUUCCUGAAGAAUCGUAAUGCCACUAAUUUGGUGUUGCAGGGAAACAGGACUGUUACUUUGAAAAAAUUAGAGUGUUUAAAGCAAGCUAACGCUUGAAUACAUUAGCAUGGAAUAAUGAAAUAGGACGAUCGAUCCUAUUUUGUUGGUUUCUAGGAUUGACGUA
rnacentral:rRNA from 1 species